GCCGUAGCUAGUGAAAUUACUGGGCAAAUGAGACUUAACAUCUUAUGUCUCAAGGUGACGAGCGCAAUAGUAGUGGUUUUUCAAGAAUCCUGAGCGGCACUGCCUUGUAAUGGGUAGGGCGUAUCAAUUACCAUCAGCUGAACGUCCUGCUCGGCUUGUCCCUUAUUUUCAUAAAAAAAAUUGAGAUAAUCCCUAUCACUGUCUAGAUAUUAAUCCAAAAAUAGGUAUAAAUCAGACUUUACAACAUUAAACGAUUAUUUGUCGUGUUACUUCUAUAUCUAAUAAUUAUUUGAUUAUGCUCGAGUUAUAAUUAUUAUAAUAAUAUUUUAUUAAUUUUUAUGGUAAUGCAUGCUUACUACUAUUAUUUUAAUAGUAGCUUAAGUAUUUAGUUCAAUUAUUUGCCAGUCGUUUAUUUAUUUUAUAUGUGCUCAAUUUCUUUAUCUCAGAUUGAUGUCUCGGAAUACUUAUUAAUUUAGUACCUAUAACCUGUAAGCUAAGAGACCAGCGGGUUUGAAUCCCAGACUGGCGAAACUAAGAAAAAAGCGAUUGUAUGAAACGUGUCUAUAUGUAUGUAUGUUGUUAAAAACGGUUGUAGCCGAAAUCUACUGCGUUUUAAGCAACUGUUCGCUUUCGUGCUUAGCCGGAUUAUACUUCGUUGCCAAUCGCCAUACUGUAAUUACUACUAUUUCAAAGUUAUUCAAAUCACUGCACGUUUCAUACUAAACUAAAUUUCAAUUUUUACUUAGGCAGUCCUGCCUCUUAUUACGUAAUAUUUACAUACUCUUUGUACCAAUAUAUGCAAAUAUUUGUAUAUUCCAUAUGAAUAUUUAUUAGUCUGGGGCUCGAUAAUAUUUUUCUUGUAAUUCUUUAACUUUGAAAUGCCUUUUAAUUUUUUUUUAUUCCAUACAUUCCAUUAAGCCAAAGCAGUCAUUAAUUGUCUUCAUCUUAAUUUAAUUUAUCUAUAAAUAUUUUAUAAUAGCAAUGGCACAUCUAAAAAUUUGUUUAACCUAUUGUUAACAUGUAUAAUUAAGUUUUAUAUAAAUACCAGAAACAUGAACUAAAUAAAACUAAUCCUUGAUGACGUUGAUUAAAAAUCACUCGGAUACGUAAUCCGUGUCGUCUGGGCAUCAAUAUCAUCUAUAUAUGUCUUAAAACAGGCCAGGGAUAUUAGUUUAGUGUGCGUGACAAGCUACGUCUAACACUCGCGAUUUGUUAGUGUGCGUCAAUUGCUCAAAAUUGAGGUUAAUUCUAAAGUCAAUUUUUUCGACGUUUUCACAGCUGUCAUUGUCUAUUAACGGCCGUUCCCAAUAUUCAGUCUAUCUCUUACUUGAGAUAAAUAUCGUAACUAUCGUUGACUUAUCUGUCCCAAUAAGCUUUUCGACGGUAACUCACCUUAUCCGUACACGCUGUCUGUCAAUGGGACGACGUAUAGUUUACCAGCGAUAGAAGUUUGUAUGGAAAAGGCAAUUCACGCGUCCCAAUAUAAGGCGAUAAGAAUGAAUUAUCGGGUAUAGUGGGACAGCUUCAGAUUAUUGACAGCUAAUUACUGACAGUAGAAGGUAGUAAAUCAUCACUUUCUGUAGAUAGGGAUUGGGAACGGCCGUUAGACGUAUAAAUGAUCUAGGCGUAAGACGAAUUUACUGACGUGACGUUUGAUUGUCAAUGUCAUCUAUUUAUGUAUACAAUGUAUGUUAACGUGACACUAAGUACUAACUAUUGGUUAUUUCAGAGAUUGUAUGUUGUUUUGAUGCGGAUUCAAUAUGCUAAGUCUACGAUAUUAUUCUAAAAACAGUAUUUAUUCGUUUUUAUUUGUACCUCAGCCACGUGUAAGGCAUCUACACUAUAUUAUACUAGAGUAUAUUAAAAUGUUUUCCAUUUA